AGUUCCGUACAAAAAGUAAUUUAGUUUGUAACACAUUUGCAGUGUUCUGAAUAUUUUAGGGAGAGGAAGGAUGAAACUGCGAUUCUUUUUGGUUUUG